UCACUCCAGUAAAGUUGGCGCCAGUAAGCGUGUUUAGGUACAACACAAAACGUACCCUUGAUGGAGACAUCUUGAAACAGCAGGUGUCUGUUCGUGAAGCAGAGAAGUCUGUUGAUACCUUAGCUGAAUCCAUGUUUAGAAAUAUUUUGCCACAUCCAAAUGUUCCUGCUAACAAAGAAAACAAGAAGCCAGCAAGGAAAUCCUUAUCUUUUGUGGACAUAAGAGAUCCCCCCAGUGGAGAUAUUGAAAAACAAAUUGAAAAAUCUAACCAGAUUAUUCAAGGUCAAGGGGAAGUAGAG